CUAAAUGUUGUUUUUCAGCCCUCACUCCCCUACCCUGUGAGCUGUUUACUUGUAUCGGUUAGAUUUCUUUAAAUCAGUGUCAUGCAAGACAUCAUUAUAUUCAUAGUAACCCCAAAAUGUUUCUUCAUUUAAGACCCACAGCAUAUCCAUUUGACCACUUUCCAUCCAAAGACACUGUUUGAAUUGUCAGCUCAAAAGCUGCUGCUGCCCAACAAGGCCAAAUGCCAAUGACACACAAAAACACCCUCCAAGCCAACUGAGUUUAUCUCUAAUGCCAAACACGGCUUGGAAAUACAGGUUUAGACACCCUGCGAACUGCUGGUGAAAAAUUGCUUCAACAGGCUGAGCCCUUUAAGGGCCAGAGGAGUAAACAUGAUCUUCCACGUGAAUAAAAUGCAGUGGCCGCGUAUUGACAAAACGCAUUCAAGUCUUACCCUCAGCUGCGCCGUCAGAGGAAGACUCUUUCCCUGCUCUGGUGUAAACAGCUUUGCCAGCUCUGUGGUGCCAGACAAUUGGACCACUGAAAGCCAGGGUGGGGCUGCUGCUCUUGCUCUCAGUUUCUGCUGUUACUGUUCAGCCCUAUGAGCAGCAGGGAAGCAAAAAGUAAAGGAGCCGACCUGAAAACAGGCCCAUCCCAGUGCCAGGUGGGUAGCUGUCUCUCACUCUUGGAACUGCUGUUUGGCCUCAGACCCAUUCCUCGAGUGAACUCAGGGUGGCUUAGGAGAGAGUUUUUCUGGGAUGCAAAGAAGCCAUCCAGGAAAACACUGUAAACCACACGAUCCAAAAACAUUCAUUGAGACCUAAGGUAUACCAACAGGUUCCAGGCCCUGGGGUUGGGCUCCCUGCUCUCACAGAGCACACAUUUAAUGAGACAGGAAAGAUAAAAAGUAAUUACAUCAUAUGUCAUGUGGUGUUCCGGGCAAGAAAGAUAAAUCAGGACAAGGGUAAAGGUGAUAUUCUAACUGACCGCUCAGGCAGGCUUACUCUGACAAGGCAGCAUUUAAAUGAACAAAGAGAUUGAGUCACAUAUGUGAGGCAGGAAUUUCAGGCUGAAGGAACAGCAAGAAAGAGGCCCUGGCUGGGGAUGUGCUUGGCAUGUUUGAAGACCCAAAGGUAGCACUUUGGGAAGCUGGUGACAGAAAUUGCCCCUGGGGAGCCUCUUGCAGAUGAUGUUGAGGUAGAUGGUGAAUGAGGGGCUUCUGAUGAAACUUGCUGGUGAUGCUCACACGGUGGGAACAGUGGGUGGAUCCUACCCAUAAUGGGCGCGCACAGCUUCUGAUCCCUCCAUCCAGUCUUCUCAACACAUGUUUUUUUCAAAGGGCCAAAGCUGCUGAGAUCCAAGCAGCCUCACAGGCAAAGCCAUACCAAGUAAAAAAGGAAAAAUAAAUCUGGUUUUUAGAAAAUAUUUGUAGGGUUC
rnacentral:lncRNA from 1 species